rnacentral:rRNA from 1 species
UUUUAAAGCUCCGUGGUCUCCACGGCGCGUUGUAGACUAAAGUUGGUGUAUCUUGUGCAGCCCGGGUAUAGAUCCGUUGGAACGCGGUAUCAUAGAGGGUGAGAAUCCCGUCUGUGACUCGGUGUCUGUGCAUCUACGUUACGCUAACGACGAGUCGGGUUGUUUGGGAAUGCAGCCCAAAAUGGGUGGUAAAUUUCAUCUAAAGCUAAAUAUGGGCACGAGACCGAUAGCGAACAAGUACCAUGAGGGAAAGAUGAAAAGAACUUUGAAAAGAGAGUCAAAAAGUACGUGAAACCGUUAAAGGGGAAACGAAUGGGGCUAGCAUUUGUACUUGCCAUAAUCAGUCAGACGUCUUGAGGUGCAGCUGCGUUGAGAGUGUUAAAGCCUCACGUGGUUGUUUCCAAGGGAACGGCUGGUGCACUUGUGGCUAGUACAGGCCAACAUCAGUUCGGGUUUUGUGAAACACUUCAGGGGAAGGUAGUUACGGCGCUUCGGUGUCGUAAUGUUAUAACCUCUGUUGCAAAGCAAGGCCUGGACUGAGGAGUAGCAGCACGCAACUUCGGAGAGCUACCGCUGUUGUUGUUAACAGGUUGGACUGUCUAAAGGCAGUGUUGCUUGUUACGCAGCUUCAUACGGGGUCUACCCAGAAACGUGCUUAUGAUGUUGGCGAAAUGGCUUCAUCCGACCCGUCUUGAAACACGGACCAAGGAGUCUAACAUAUACGCGAGUCUUUGGGUUGAAAGCCCGCAGGCGCAAUGAAAGUGAAGGUACACUUGGUGUGCUGAGGUGAGAUUUACAAUUGCAUCAUCGACCGAUCUGGAUGGUUUCCUGAAAGAUUUGAGUAAGAGCGUAUCUGUUGGGACCCGAAAGAUGGUGAACUAUGCCUGAACAGGGUGAAGUCUGAGGAAACUCAGAUGGAAGCUCGUAGCGAUUCUGACGUGCAAAUCGAUCGUCUGAUUUGGGUAUAGGGGCGAAAGACUAAUCGAACUAUCUAGUAGCUGGUUCCCUCCGAAGUUUCCCUCAGGAUAGCUGGAACUAUUAGCAGUUUUAUCAGGUAAAGCGAAUGAUUAGAGGCCUUGGGGUUGAAAUAACCUCAACCUAUUCUCAAACUUUAAAUAGGUAAGAAGCCUGGCUUGCUUAAUUGAAGUCAGGCACUGAAUGCAAGUUCCAAGUGGGCCAUUUUUGGUAAGCAGAACUGGCGAUGCGGGAUGAACCGAACGCGAAGUUAAAGUGCCAAAAUUCACGCUCACCUAGAACCCAGAAAAGGUGUUGGCUGAUGAAGACAGCAGGACGGUGGCCAUGGAAGUCGGAACCCGCUAAGGAGUGUGUAACAACUCACCUGCCGAAUCAGCCAGCCCUGAAAAUGGAUGGCGCUCAAGCGUGAUACUUAUACUUCGCCGUUGCUGUAAGAGACUAUACCGCAACGAGUAGGAGGGCGUGGAGGUCGUGAAGCAGCCUAGGGCGUAAGCCUGGGUGAA